rnacentral:lncRNA from 1 species
GCCUCCUACGUCAACUAUGCCCGUGAACGGAGAACCCAUUCAGGAUCCAGUGGCGUUCUUUAGAGCUGGUGUGAUGCCCGGUGUGGCAAUGCAGAGGGCAGUGGCGGACCACCCGCAGAGUCUAGCCGCAGCGUGGACGGUGCCGAGGGCUCUCAAGAACUGACCGUGGAAGAGGAUGGUUUGGAGUAUCAGUACUCAGACAAAGGCUUGGUCUAACGCCUUAGCCUUCAUGAUGGAGCCAGAGGCAGCACUAGAUCAUCACAGGACUUCAUAAACUUGACACUGCUUCCGGCCAACUCACGUUUUGAGCCCAAUGAACAUCAUGUGCCGCGGUGUGCUUUUCACACUUGGCAGUAAAACCCAAGCAAUUUUUUUUAUGGAGCCCUGCAGACUUGCAAGUGGUUGUGGCAAAUCAUCACUGGACAAUGGUGUGACGCUGCAGCAGAUUGUAUGUACGCCUGCCACACACU